AAACUUAAAGGAAUUGACGGGACCCCGCACAAGCGGUGGAGUAUGUGGUUUAAUUCGAAGCAACGCAGAACCUUACCAGGUCUUGACAUGGUGUUUAAUACCCUAGAGAUAGGGAGAUAAUAAGCACACACAGGUGGUGCAUGGUUGUCGUCAGCUCGUGUCGUGAGAUGUUGGGUUAAGUCCCGCAACGAGCGCAACCCUUGUCUUUAGUUGCCAUCAUUAAGUUGGGCACUCUAAAGAGACUGCCGGUGUCAAACCGGAGGAAGGUGGGGAUGACGUCAAGUCCUCAUGGCCUUUAUGACCAGGGCUACACACGUACUACAAUGGCAGGUACAAAGGGCAGCCACUUAGCGAUAAGGCGCGAAUCCCGUAAAACCUGUCUCAGUCCGGAUUGGAGUCUGCAACUCGACUCCAUGAAGUUGGAAUCGCUAGUAAUCGCAGAUUAGCACGCUGCGGUGAAUACGUUCCCGGGCCUU
rnacentral:rRNA from 1 species